rnacentral:rRNA from 1 species
GAUGAACGCUAGCUACAGGCUUAACACAUGCAAGUCGAGGGGAAACGAUAGAGAAAGCUUGCUUUUUCUAGGCGUCGACCGGCGCACGGGUGAGUAACGCGUAUCCAACCUGCCCACCACUUGGGGAUAACCUUGCGAAAGUAAGACUAAUACCCAAUGACGUCUCUAGAAGACAUCUGAAAGAGAUUAAAGAUUUAUCGGUGAUGGAUGGGGAUGCGUCUGAUUAGCUUGUUGGCGGGGUAACGGCCCACCAAGGCGACGAUCAGUAGGGGUUCUGAGAGGAAGGUCCCCCACAUUGGAACUGAGACACGGUCCAAACUCCUACGGGAGGCAGCAGUGAGGAAUAUUGGUCAAUGGACGAGAGUCUGAACCAGCCAAGUAGCGUGCAGGAUGACGGCCCUAUGGGUUGUAAACUUCUUUAUAAAGGAUAACCCUCCCACGUGUGGGAGCUUGUAUGUACCUUAUGAAUAAGCAUCGGCUAACUCCGUG